GAACAUGUUCACAUGUUGCAUCCCAGAGUCCGGAGGCUGCAGGCUGAGGAAAGCACACCCUGCAAACACUUUCCUUCCCUAGGGAUGUCAUAUCAGGGCUCCCCAACAUCUCUGAUCAUUUGGCUGGAAGUACAGAAAGCCCUCCCAUUCCCCGAGCUCUGCUCAGAAACCCUCCAGGCCACAGGUCCACGGUCUUGGGUCCUCAGAUGCCCAGAUGAUGUGCCUUCAAAAAGCGAUCUAGGUGGGGCAGCAGGACACACUGCGGAUUCCAGUAAUCACCCUCCCAGAAAGUGAGGUUACUGCUGGAUGGGCUGUCCAAAAACAGCCAAGUCAGCAUUCCAGGAAGACACCAGAGGCACAGGAGUAACUGAGGAGCAUCUGAAGGUCAGGUGGGAAAACCCGGCCACACCCUGAAGAAUUUCUGGAAGCAGUAGCCAUCUCAGGAGCAGCCAACCUGGGAGGUCAACCUUCCAGCUGCCCCAGGCGGGAUCGAGCCACAGACCAGCACCCUAGCCAGAAAAGGAAGGAGAACUGCUUCUUCAUCCCAAUAGUUUCUGAGUUACCAGUUUGUUCUUAUGACCCAGCCAGGGACCUUAAGAAGAGUUGAAGAAAACUUUCCUCUCUUGCAGCCCUGGACCAGAGGGGGGAGUGGGAUAUGUCUGAAAAAUCUUCCUGACCUUGGUUAAAACUGCCCUCUGCUGGGAAACAGCACAGGACUGUGCAGGGCUGGGGGAGCCAGGGAGAGGCAGGUGGAACAUGUAGGAAGCUACCUAACCCUCAGCCAGGGGACUUGGCCCCACUGACAGAAGGGAGGGGGGUGGGAAGAUGGGGUAGUUGGGUGACAGGUAUUAAGGAGGGCACACGCUGUGAUGAGCACUGGGUGUUACAGGCAACUAAUGAACCACUGAAUGCUAUAUUAAAAUCUA